ACUACACUUAUGUGGAAUAUAAAGAUGGGGCAAGUGAAGAUGAUGUGGUAACUGCAGCCCCAAGUCUCCAAAACCAGACAACGUCAUCUGCCACUGAUGGAGUAACUGAUGGUGCGAGUGAGGAUGCUGUUGUGUUAACCACUGUACUGAAUCUGCAAAAUGGGACUACCUCUGCCCAAGAUGGAACCACCAUCACUGAUUCCCAUGAUGACUCCUGAAGUGACUGCUCAGAAUGCUAAUGGUGAAUGGAACUUCUCCUUUAUCCUGGGUCACUUUCUGCACUUGGGCUUUCUCCUCCAUCUUGAAUUCAAUAAAGGCCAAAUUUUAUCAGA